CAGAUCUCAAGAUUACCAUUGGUUAAACAUAAUGCAUGUAACAGAUGUUGUGAAGAUGUCAAUAUGAGCUGAAAUAAAGCGUGUACGUCAGAUUUGAGUGGACAAACUAAAGCUGAUUUAAUGUUAUAGUUUUCUGUCAAUAAAGUGUUGCAUAUGAGAGCAUUGUGACAAUGGUUGCGAGCGGCAUAUUUCGACAGCCUCGCAAACUUUAUAAGAAGAAUAUCCGAGUGUGACCUCGUGUUUUUCGAUUACGUCUGGCAUUGUGUUGUCUGGUUUUACGAAAGUCUACAGAGAUUCAAAAUUUUAAAAAGGAUAUUGAACGUUUAGCAGAUGCCGGCGCUUCGUUCUACAUCGUCAGUAAAUCGUGGAAGGAACAUAACACAUGCCCUCAAAUUAAUUACGUAAUAUUAACUUAAAAUACACAUGGAUAAACGCAUGUUUGUAACUUUACUGAAACCGUUUAUGAACAUCGAGAAAAAUUGUCUUAACUGGUUCAUAUGUACACUUGUUUGUUCCUUCAGAAGAAAUGAAUAUUUGAAGUAUACAACUACGAAAAACACAACAUAUAUUAAAAAAAACAGGACACAAAACGUUUCCUGUUUCUAAACAUCUGGUAUGAAAACGAUGAUGCAUAUGCCAUGCUUCAUUCUAUGCAUGGGCCCUCUUCUAAGCUUUGGCGAAAUUCUUAUAAACCAAUCACUCAUCACCGACAAUCUGGUAAUCGGAUGCUAUUCAACAAAUGCCUUAACACUGUCAAUGACGAGUUUUAAGAAAACACGACUAGUGAAAUAGCAAAGUGUGAACGGUACCUAAAACGUGUUUUUUGAGUAAUGCCGUCUCCAAUCAAACAUUUUCAAUUACCCCACUUAGUGGCGGCGCUCUUCUUACCGUGAACAAUCUGAACAUCGAUCUAUAUGGAACAUACAUGUGCUGUGAAUCGUUUACACCGACCAAAUGUGGCAGCACGAUUGUACGCUUACCGGAUAGUACCACUACAAGUAUCGUCCCAAGCAGUUCUAAACACAAUUUGAAUAAUGAUACAAACCCCAAUGGAUGGUCAAACGAUGCGCACGGGAAUCGUAACUCAACAGGAUUAAUUAUCGCAGUGUCUUGUACAGCGGUGGUUGCGGUCGUUUCCCUCAUACUGACGUUGUGUGCAGUAAUUAUAAUGAGGCCAAUCUAUCGCAAAAUAAAAUGGAUGUCACUUGAACGAGAAAUUCCAAGUUUGGCACAGCUACAAAUGCAAAAUGACGACCAGGAAAUUUAAUAAACAACAUAUUUAUAGAUAUACAAUCAUGUACAUGUAUAUCAAAAGCUUUUAAACCAUCAUCCGCCCUAGUGGUAAUCUAAUUAACCGAGCAUGAACCGUUCCAAUUGUGUUUCCAUCAGAAGUUGAUGAAUUACGUAAUUUUAUGUGUACAUUGUUUGUGUACACUGUAGGCAAGGUUAGAUAAGAAUGCGAGAGCAUACUUUUUAAACCAACUUUACAACAGGCAAAUUAAUAUUGCAAAAAAACUAGACUAGCAUAAACUGCUCAGGUAUUUAGUCAUAUGUAAUGGUUAACUAUCAAAGUCGUGUCUUAUACCAUAGUUGCAUAAUAACUAAUAAAACCGCAUAACACGUGUCUUUAAUAUAUGAAAGAUAUAAAGUCUUUCUUCAAAGACUUUAAUACCUUGUUAUAUUGGACCCAGAUGCUAUUGCAAUUAAAAGAUAUUCAACUGAAUACAUGAACUGUCUUUCAUAACAGCAGACUUGUCUGGAAUUGUUUACUAAAUACAGUCGUUCUGCAACAUCAAUGAGAUCAUUCAAAAGUAGCUGCAAACAGUAUCAUAACCAAGUGCAACAUACCUAGUGUGUGGUAGAAAAUAUAAGUUGUACUUACCGCAAAUUAAUUUGCUUUGUAUAUUUGAAUGAAUGUCAUUUUUUAAAAUGUUUUUUGAUAUCAUUCGGCGAUAUUAACUUUGAAAGUUAAAUUUAUAUCUAUUAAAUAAAUUUUAUUAGCCAUAUAAUCACUUACUUAAUUGUCCAUAUAUAUGUAUGCUUUUAUUGUAUUGUUAUUGAUGAAAAGUAUGAUGAUAUAUUAUUGUUUUGUUUAUAUUGUAAAGUUUUGUUCAUAUAAAUGCUGUCUUCGUUGUUUAUGCAAAUGGUGUGGUUAUAGUGUAAGAUUAGUUUAUAAAUUUCAUAGCCUUAUGAGAAAAUAUAAUUAACAAGACGUUAUA